rnacentral:rRNA from 1 species
UACGGAAGGCAGCAGGUGGGGAAUAUUGCACAAUGGGCGAAAGCCUGAUGCAGCUAUGCCGCGUGUAUGAAGAAGGCCUUAGGGUUGUAAAGUACUUUCAUCGGGGAGGAAAAAACAAAACUAAUAAUUUUAUUUCUUGACGUUACCCGAAAAAGAAGCACCGGCUAACUCCGUGCCAGCAGCCGCGGUAAUACGGAGGGUGCUAGCGUUAAUCAGAAUUACUGGGCGUAAAGAGCACGUAGGGUGGUUUUUUUAAAGUCAGAUGUGAAAUCCCUGGGCUUAACCUGGAAACUGCAUUUUGAAACUGAAAUACUAGAGUAUCGUAGAGGGAGGUAGAAUUCUAGGUGUAGCGGUGAAAUGCGUAGAUAUCUGGAGGAAAUCCUGUGGCGAAAGCGGCCUCCUAAACGAAUACUGACACUGAGUGCGAAAGCGUGGGGAGCAAACAGGGAUUAGGAUACC